rnacentral:lncRNA from 1 species
UUUUUUUUUUUUUUUGUAUUUUUAGUAGAAACGGUGUUUCGCCAUGUUGGCCAGGCUGGUCUCGAACUCCUGACCUCAAGUGAUCUGCCCCCCUCAGCCUCCCAAAGUGCUGGGAUUACAGGUGUGAGCUACCACGCCCGGCCAAAUUAAGGGACCUCUAUUCCUAGUUGCCUGAGAGUUUUUAUUAUGAAUAGUGUUUUUAGCAGAUGCUUCUUACACAUUUACUGAGAUCUAUAGUCUGUUGCUGUGAUGAGUCACAUGGAUGGAUUUUCUCCUGUUAAGCCAUCCUUGCAUACCUGGGGUUACUAAGUAUGGUCGUAGUGUAAUAUCUUUCAUCUGCUCAGUUGGGUUGGAUUUGAUAACAUUUUUGUUCAGGAAUUUUUGUAUCUAUAUUUGAACUCAGUGAGCUUAGCAGAUCUGUCCACCAGGCUGCAAUUUUCCUCUCUUUUGCGUUUUUCCAACUUUGGUCUUGGAAGAUUAUGUUGGCCUCGUAGAAUGAAUUGGGAGUGUCCACUGCUUUACUGUUGUCUAGGAGGGUUUGCUUACAAAAAUCUGGUUCUUUUAAAACUUGGUGGAGAGAGCCUGGCAUUUUCUUUGUAGGAAUUUUCCCCCUAACUUUUUGUCUUGAAAAAUGUCAGACUUACAAAGUCAUUGAAAUAGUAGCAAAAUGAACCUCAUACCUUUCAUGGAGACCCACUGCUUGUUAACAUUUUGCAGUAUUUGUGCUUGUGAGUGGGUGCUCUCGCUUGCUGUUAUAUGUGUAUUUAUAUAUGUAGUUAUAUACGUGCUUUUGCAUUUUAGUAGAAGCAUUUGAAAGUAAGCUGCAGACAUUUCCUAAAUGUUUUAGGAAGAUUUUAAACUACUGCUUUGAUUUUUGCUUUUUGAGACUAUUGGGCUGUUUGUGACUUUUAUAUCUGGACAUUGUACACAAAUAAUUUGACAGUUAUCCUCUCUCUGUCUCUUACAUGUUCUCCUGGUGCCUCUGACCUGUGGAUGGUGAAAGCAGGUAAGUCUGUUCCGGCAGCUUCCUCUCUUUCCCUGCCAGCUGGGGUGGGCCCAUCCUCACACCGGGCGUCAUGCUGUGACCUCCAGUAGGCAUAUUGUCUUGUCUUGUGCAAGGAGGAAACAGAUGCCAG